AGUGAACGCUGGCGGUAGGCCUAACACAUGCAAGUCGAACGGCAGCACAGUAAGAGCUUGCUCUUACGGGUGGCGAGUGGCGGACGGGUGAGGAAUACAUCGGAAUCUACUUUUUCGUGGGGGAUAACGUAGGGAAACUUACGCUAAUACCGCAUACGACCUACGGGUGAAAGCAGGGGAUCUUCGGACCUUGCGCGAUUGAAUGAGCCGAUGUCGGAUUAGCUAGUUGGCGGGGUAUAGGCCCACCAAGGCGACGAUCCGUAGCUGGUCUGAGAGGAUGAUCAGCCACACUGGAACUGAGACACGGUCCAGACUCCUACGGGAGGCAGCAGUGGGGAAUAUUGGACAAUGGGCGCAAGCCUGAUCCAGCCAUACCGCGUGGGUGAAGAAGGCCUUCGGGUUGUAAAGCCCUUUUGUUGGGAAAGAAAAGCAGCGGGUUAAUACCCCGCUGUUCUGACGGUACCCAAAGAAUAAGCACCGGCUAACUUCGUG
rnacentral:rRNA from 1 species